rnacentral:sRNA from 1 species
AGGGGUACUGACUUCCCUCCGUCCUCCUCCUUUCCUCCGCCACAGAUGAGCGCCUUGACCUGGACGAUGGGCGCUGGGAGGACGUCCACGUUAUCACCGGAGCCCUGAAGCUCUUCUUUCGGGAGCUGCCCGAGCCCCUCUUCCCCUUCUCGCACUUCCGCCAGUUCAUUGCGGCCAUCAAGUUGCAGGACCAGGCCCAGCGCAGCCGCUGUGUGCGUGACUUGGUGCGCUCGCUGCCCGCCCCCAACCACGACACUCUGAGGAUGCUCUUCCAGCAUCUCUGCCGGGUGAUCGAGCACGGCGAGCAGAACCGCAUGUCGGUGCAGAGCGUGGCCAUUGUGUUCGGGCCCACGCUGCUGCGGCCCGAGGUGGAAGAGACCAGCAUGCCCAUGACCAUGGUGUUCCAGAACCAGGUGGUGGAGCUCAUCCUGCAGCAGUGCGCGGACAUCUUCCCGCCGCACUGAC